CUACGGGCGGCAGCAGUGGGGAAUAUUGGACAAUGGGCGAAAGCCUGAUCCAGCCAUGCCGCGUGUGUGAAGAAGGCCUUCGGGUUGUAAAGCACUCUCAGUGGGGAAGAAAGCCUUGGGGCUAAUACCCUCGAGGAAGGACAUCACCCACAGAAGAAGCACCGGCUAACUCCGUGCCAGCAGCCGCGGUAAUACGGAGGGUGCGAGCGUUAAUCGGAAUUACUGGGCGUAAAGCGCGCGUAGGCGGUCUGAUAAGCCGGUUGUGAAAGCCCCGGGCUCAACCUGGGAACGGCAUCCGGAACUGUCAGGCUAGAGUGCAGGAGAGGAAGGUAGAAUUCCCGGUGUAGCGGUGAAAUGCGUAGAGAUCGGGAGGAAUACCAGUGGCGAAGGCGGCCUUCUGGACUGACACUGACGCUGAGGUGCGAAAGCGUGGGUAGCAAACAGGAUUAGAUACCCCAGUAGUC
rnacentral:rRNA from 1 species